rnacentral:rRNA from 1 species
GCGGCAGGCCUAACACAUGCAAGUCGAACGCUGUAGCAAUACAGAGUGGCAGACGGGUGAGUAACGCGUGGGAACGUGCCUUUCGGUUCGGAAUAACUCAGGGAAACUUGAGCUAAUACCGGAUACGCCCUUCGGGGGAAAGAUUUAUUGCCGAAAGAUCGGCCCGCGUCCGAUUAGCUAGUUGGUGAGGUAACGGCCCACCAAGGCGACGAUCGGUAGCUGGUCUGAGAGGAUGAUCAGCCACACUGGGACUGAGACACGGCCCAGACUCCUACGGGAGGCAGCAGUGGGGAAUAUUGGACAAUGGGCGCAAGCCUGAUCCAGCCAUGCCGCGUGAGUGAUGAAGGCCCUAGGGUUGUAAAGCUCUUUCGCCAGGGACGAUAAUGACGGUACCUGGAUAAGAAGCCCCGGCUAACUUCGUGCCA